UGUCUCCGCCAUGCCUCCAAAAAGCAUGGUUUUACAGCCCGCUCGAUGAGCGGGCUUUUCUUU
rnacentral:ncRNA from 1 species